UACGAAGGGGGCUAGCGUUGCUCGGAAUCACUGGGCGUAAAGGGCGCGUAGGCGGUUUGCCAAGUCAGGGGUGAAAUCCUGCAGCUCAACUGUAGAAGUGCCUUUGAUACUGGCGAACUCGAGGGAGGUAGGGGUGGGUGGAACUUCUGGUGGAGCGGUGAAAUGCGUUGAUAUCAGAAGGAACGCCGGUGGCGAAAGCGACCCACUGGAUCUCUACUGACGCUGAGGCGCGAAAGCUAGGGGAGCAAACGGG
rnacentral:rRNA from 1 species